GCCCCGGAAAAAGACGGGGCGCGAGUUUGACAGCUCGGUUUACCAAAGCGCACAGACCGCGCCAUGCGGUUUUUUU
rnacentral:sRNA from 2 species